GCCUGCCUCCCACCCUGCCUGCUGGCCCAGAGCCCUCCCCUGGAGGGCCACACAUCCUGUGGCCAGACAGCCCCGCAGAAGGCCGAGGGGACUGUGGGGCCGUCCGUCAAAUGGCCAGCUGCCCUUGGCCUCCUCCUAUGUUACUUCCCUGGACUGCAAGGGAGUGAGGGAACAACAACAAAACUGGAAGGAAUGACAGUUAAAAUACUAUAUGAGAAACUGGUGUA